rnacentral:rRNA from 1 species
CAGUAGCGUAUAUUAAAGUUGUUGCAGUUAAAAAGCUCGUAGUUGGAUUUCUAGAUAAGUGGGUACUUGUACUUUGCUUGUCUACCAGUCAUAGACUGUUACUGUGAGAAAAUUAGAGUGUUUCAAGCAGGCUGUUGCAGGAAUACAUUAGCAUGGAAUAACGAAUGUGUCUGGAAUAUUGGUUAAUUCUAGAUUACGAUUAAUAGGGACAGUUGGGGCGAUUAGUAUUAAUUGUCAGAGGUGAAAUUACUUGGAUUUAUUAAAGAACUAAACGUAUGCGAAAGACAUUUGUCCAAGGAAUGUUUUCUAUUAAUCAAGAAACGAAAGAAUUGGGGAGUCAAAGAAUGAUCAGAUACCGU